AGGUGCGAUCAUACCAGCACUAAUGCACCGGAUCCCAUCAGAACUCCGCAGCUAAGCGUGCUUGGUCGAGAGUAGUACUAGGAUGGGUGACCUCCUGGGAAGUCCUCGUGUUGCACCUC
rfam:Lupinus angustifolius cultivar Tanjil chromosome LG02, whole genome shotgun sequence.